GAAAUGCGAUAAGUGAUGUGAAUUGCAGAAUUCAGUGAAUCAUCGAAGCUUUGAACGCACCUUGCGCUCCUGGGUAUUCCGAGGAGCGUGCCUGUGUGAGUGUCGUUGAAUUCUCAACCUCACCAAUUUUUGUAAUGAAAGUUGUGUGCAGGAUUGGAUGUGGGGGUUUGCAGGUCCGCCUCUUGGUGGUCUGCUCCUCUGAAAUGCAUUAGUGGGUUGUGCCCCUAAUCUAUUGGUGUGAUACUUAUCUACGCCGUGGAUCAGGUUGGCUACUAUAGACCUGCUUCUAACCCUCCGUCUCGGACAACUUUGACAUUUUUGACCUCAAAUCAGGUAAGACUACCCGCUUAACUUAA
rnacentral:misc_RNA from 1 species